UACGUAGGGGGCAAGCGUUGUCCGGAUUUAUUGGGCGUAAAGAGCGUGUAGGCGGCUUGACAGGUCUGCUGUGAAAACUCGAGGCUCAACCUCGAGAUGUCGGCGGAAACCGUCUGGCUAGAGUCCGGAAGAGGAGAGUGGAAUUCCUGGUGUAGCGGUGAAAUGCGCAGAUAUCAGGAAGAACACCUAUGGCGAAGGCAGCUCUCUGGGACGGUACUGACGCUGAGACGCGAAAGCCAGGGGAGCAAACGGG
rnacentral:rRNA from 1 species